UCUAGCCUCUAACAUGUCCACCUACUAUUGCCUGAUAUGGGCUGGACAUUCUCAAUCUUGAUAUGAUCAAGACUCAGUUUCUUAUUAUGCCAUAUCUCAUAUGGUGUGAUAGAAACAGACUUAGAGAGAACCCUAUUCAAUAGGUAAAUUUUAAAAGUAAAUCAUGUCCUCAAAAAAAUAGAGAUAAAUUAGUGAAGUUCAUCAU
rnacentral:lncRNA from 1 species